rnacentral:lncRNA from 1 species
AUUAUUAUUUUCAAGUUCAGCUUAAGAAAACAUUUUGUUUCAAAAUAACUUCCUUGGCAAGUGGGAUCUUUGGAAGGGAUUUAAGCAGGGUGUAACACGUCAUAUUCACUUUUUGAAAUAUUGCCCAGAGACUGCAUAGAAAAUAGAUUGAGCCUAGAAACAAUUCUCCAGAGGAGAGUCAUAGAGGACCUGAACUAGGCAGUAGCAGAGGGAUGGAGACAAGAAGACCGCUGUGAGACAUGCCAGGGAAGACGGCCUUCUAGACCCUAGUGACUCUAAGCAUGGUCUCUGGGCCAACAGCCUCAGCAUCUCUCGGGAGAUUGUGAGAAAUGCGAAUUCUCAGGCCCCAACCCAGAUCUACUGAAUAAAAAUCUGCUUGGAAAAGAUCGCCAAGGGAUCCAUAUGCUCCUUAAACUUCAGAAGCACUGCUUUCAGACCACUUGCCUGGGAGAGGGAUGGAGGAAGGAAUGGACGAUGACUCUGAGCCUGUGUUCAAGCAUUAUAAAAUGGGUGAGACCUUCUAGAACAACAUGGAUGAGACCUUUCUUUGAGAAGAGUGCUUUCCCUUCAACAGUGCAAGUGCCAAGAAGCCAGGAGCCAUGUCUAUUUUCUUCUCUACAAGUUCUACUCAGUACCUAAUUCAGUGACUAAUACAGAGCAGGAAUUUGACAGAUGCCUGUUGAAUGAAUGACAAUAGGGGAUUUUGGACAGUUGGAUUAAUUUUUCCAUUUAAGAUGAGCAUACUGAAGCCCAGAGACAUUAAGUAACUAGGCUCAUUAGUAGUGACAGUGAUGUUGCCACCAAACUGUAAAGCCAGGAUUUGGACUCAGGCAAGUGACCCCACAGUUGUGUUCUUGAGUGCUCCACCGCAGCAUCACUACAGGAAGUGGACUAGAUUCUCAUGGGCCUUCAGGAUGAUGAAGAAUUCUGGACGAUUUACAGUGGAAAAUCAGGAUUACUGUGGUUUUUGCCUGCUCCUCCCUGUUCUUCCUUCUUUGUUGUUUAGACAAAUUCUAAACGACAGACCUUCAGCUCUCAAAUGCUAGAACCUUGACGAAGAUUUAUAGCCUAUUCUCUUUAGAGUGCCACUUUUCCUUCCUUUCUUAACUGGACUAUGAAUGGCUCUUAUCUACUUUUGUUCUUUUAUUUUUUUCACAUUUUACUCCAAUUUCCUAGAAUAAAUUCAUAAAUAAUUGGAAGCUGGUUUGGAGACACAGCAAUAAAUUUUUUUAAAUGAUGCUUUGUAGUAGCGACUUAGGCAUUUUCCUUAUUAUGGAUAUGUCUGGACUGUACAAGGAUCUCUUUGUAUAACCAACCUCAAUAAACUGAUGGAUGGAACAGAGGCUUCAUUUGUCUUUGGCACAGUGGCACUAACCUGCUUCAGAAUUUUGACAUCAAUUGUUAGACAUUAAGUAACUUGCCUCUUUCUCAUGAGCCCAGUCAUCAAAAAGGGACAUGGAAAUAUCCUAAUGUUUCACCUGUUUUAUUACAGGGUUUUAAUAACUUAGAGAACCUCCAAAUGAGAGUACUGAAAAAAUAUCUAUAGUGUAACACGCUCUGUGCAACCAGAUGAAGAAAUAAUGUAGGGAAAAAACCAGUGUUGCUUCAUUUCUCUCUUUCUCUCUCUUUCUCCAUCCAUCCACCCAUCCAUCCGAAUAAUGACUAAACUCUACUCAUACUUAUCCCUACAUGUCCCUACAAUCCAUUCAUUUUUUCAUCUCCACUGCAUUGCCUCCAUUCAGAUGUCAUUAUCAUUUGUCCACUUUGCUACUGCAGCCUCCCAACUGGACCCUCUUCCUCCAGUCUUUCCCUUUCUAUUCCAUUCAACACACUGCUACUAGGGUCACCCUCCUGAAAAAAUUCUCAUCAAUGGAUGUCCUCACAUGAAAACACUUGAUUUUGAAUCAUUUUGCUUCUCCUUUCUCUCACCUCCUUCCACCAUAUUUCCUCCAGUUAGACUUACUUUUAGGACAUUCUAUUUUCCCUUCUUGGAGCACUAAUCCUUUUUAUCUGGUAUAUUAGUCUGCUCAAGUUUACUCCAAAAAAUGGAAACAACUGUAGUUUCAGACAGGAAGAAAUUUAAUACAGGGAACUGGUCACAUAGAUAAUAGAAAAGCUGAGAAAGCAAGCAAGGGAACUGAUGUGACUCAGAGACUGCAAAGAAGAAUAAAUCAUUGCUACCCUUAGUCCUGGAGGGAUGGAAGGAGGAGAUGAUGUUAUUUGAUCCCAGGAACCAGAUACUAAAAUCAGAGCAGGAGCCAUGGACCAGCGAGAAAGGGGCUAUCCUGUGAGUUCUGGAGCCAUGGAGGAGACUCAACCAUUGCUUGGGAUCCUCCUGAAACAAAAAGGAAUGAGGGAGUGAAAUAUCCAGCUUUUCCCCUCCCCUUAUCAGCCAUUCUCCCACUGUGCUUUCCUUUGGCUGGAUUGCAUUGAAACUGGAGGAUAAGGGGCCCAUGAAAUGCAGUCCCCUCUGAUACAUGGCAGGACAGAGCAAGGCAGGAAAGUGAUCUGCAUAGCCAACUAAUUCCCUCUUUUCAGGAUUCAGCUUAAAUGAUACUUCUGGAAAGCUUUUCCUGAUGUCGCCAUAGUAUCCAGUAACAGCCCUCACUUUAAAUUUGUCACCUUUUGUCACAGAUGCUCAUUGAAUUGUUGUGUUCUCAGCUCACCUGUAAGGUUCCACAGAACAUCAUGGCCUCUAUCACAUAGUGACAUGAUAAUAAAUAUUUGUUGAAUGGGAAACUGAUCUUGGUAAUUGUCCCUUAUAGAAAGUGUAUCAGUUUACACUUGCUGAAGCGAGAAAAGUGCUUAUUUCUCAACAUCUUCACCAUUGUUUAUAAGUAAACUGCCUAAUUCUUGCGAAUCUGAUAGUUGCAAUUGGUAUCUCAGGGAAAUUUUUAUUUGCAUUCCUCUUAUUGUGAGUGAGGAC